AUGUAUAAUAUGAUGCUUCUAAUCCAAAAGAGGAAGGGCAUUGGGAGUCAGCUCCUAAGUAAGCUCCAGAAUUCCUGCUGGGGCUGGAGAGGCAGAGGGAGACAGAGGAGCUGGUACUGCAGAGCGGUCGUCUGAUUGGCUGGACGGUCGUAGCUGGGCUAUAAAAGAGACCCCUACAGGCUUAGCAGGAAGACGCUCAGAGGAUUCUGACAAUAUCUUUACCGGAGAAGAGGCAAAGUACGCUCAAAGCCGAAGCCACAGCUCCUCCUGCCGCAUUUCUUUCCUGCUUGCGAAUUCCAAGCUGUUAAAUAAGAUGUGCAAAGGGCUUGCAGGUCUGCCGGCUUCUUGCUUGAGGAGUGCAAAAGAUAUGAAACAUCGGCUAGGUUUCCUGCUGCAAAAAUCUGAUUCCUGUGAACACAAUUCUUCCCACAACAAGAAGGACAAAGUGGUUAUUUGCCAGAGGGUGAGCCAAGAGGAAGUCAAGAAAUGGGCUGAAUCACUGGAAAACCUGAUUAGUCAUGAAUGUGGGCUGGCAGCUUUCAAAGCUUUCUUGAAGUCUGAAU
rnacentral:sRNA from 1 species